rnacentral:rRNA from 1 species
CCUACGGGAGGCAGCAGUGAGGAAUAUUGGUCAAUGGGCGCGAGCCUGAACCAGCCAAGUCGCGUGAGGGAAGACGGCCCGACGGGUUGUAAACCUCUUUUGCCGGGGAGCAACGGGCGCCACGUGUGGCGCCACGGAGAGGACCCGGAGAAAAAGCAGCGGCUAACUCCGGGCCAGCAGCCGCGGUAAUACGGAGGAUGCGAGGGUUAUCCGGAUUUAUGGGGUUGAAAGGGUGCGUAGGCGGAGCGUUAAGUCAGUGGUCAAAUUGAGGGGCUCACCCCCUUCCCGCCAUUGAAACUGGCGCUCUUGAGUGGAAGAGCAGUAUGCUGAAUGCGUGGUGUAGCGGUGAAAUGCAUAGAUAUCACGCAGAACCCAGAUUGCGAAGGCAGCAUGCCGGCUUCCUACUGACGCUGACGCACGAAAGCGUGGGGAUCGAACCGGAUUAGAUACCCUUGUAGUC